UUACAAUAUCAUUCUGAAAAAGGAUCCAUAGGCUUCAGCAUAAUACCCAAUUGGUUCAGGACAUAAAGAAGAUGAAAACCACCAUCUCUGAUUGGCAGGAGGUUGGAUUCUCAGAAGUGCCGAACACAAGACACCUGCCUGAAGCAUCAUGGCUCUUCACUUCUGAGUAGCGCCAGGGGAAAACUAAAAGAUGAGGAAACUGAGGCACAGAGAAGAUGUGAUUUGACAGAGGGGACCAUCAUCAAUCACCAUUAUCCUGAUACUCUAUAGGGAUUUAA